AUUUCAGUUUUAUUUAUUAUUAAACUAUUGGAAUUUCAGAAGACAUCCGUGCUUUAUUUCAGAGACGGAAUUAUGGUUGGCACGGAAUCCCUAGCACCCAAAGAUGACACCAGACUACAGAAUCUAGUUCAAUAAUCAAGAAAAGAAACUAACAGAGUCACUUCCCACCAUAAGCAGACCCAGAAGUUGUUUAAAUGCUUUCUAUGAGAAGAAAAGUGAAGGAAAAUUCCCUGUUUUGCAUCCGUGAAAUUGCCUGUUUUUAUAGGUUCUCCUCAUACGUUUCAUAAUCUAGGAGAAGAACACCCUAAAGAGAAAGCAGAUUAAAAGGUGUACGAAGUCUGUUCUGAAGUAAAGGACCUCAUUUAUUUUAAAGAAAACCUGAUGGACUUCCAAUGCGCUAUCUCUCUUAUCAGCUUUGUUAUUGUAUGAAUUGAAGCAUCUCUAGUGCAUUGAAAUUGACAAUAGACCAUCCCGAUGAUGUUCAAGAAAAUGUUAAGGAGUGCAUGACGUACGAGCAUUCUGCAAAAAUAACUGCACGGAUGUCCUUCAUUGUCUACGUGAUUGAAAGAAAUGUUGGACCAUUGCACAAGAUAAACCAACUGACAGCCAAUUCCAUUUCAAAUGAAAACUCCACUGGGAAAACUCCUCUCAAGGAGACGGAGAGGAGUGUUAUCGUAGCAACAAGUGUCUAAAUUUAAAAGGCAAAUGGGUAGAUCCGUUUUAAGAUAUUAUAAUCUGAUUUGAUUUGCUAUUAAAAUACUUCUGUAACGUUUAAAAA